UCCCCUGUAAUAAUGUUGCUCUGCCAGCCCAAUACACGAGAGGGGGACUAUAUAAGGUGUCACUAUCACGAACUACCCCACGAUCUGGCAUAUUGGGUACAAUCGCAGAUAAAUACGGUAUAAGCACCACGCCUACACAAUAUCUAUCAUUUACCCAUGGAUCCGAUGGAUAAACGCUAUACGAUCCUAAGCAUGUAUAUAGAUCCAAUCUAACUAAGCCAAAUACAUAACUAUGAUAAUCUAAGAACAAUAUAAUCUUGAAUAUAAACAAGUAGAGCAAAGUCAUAAGCAAUAUAUUGAAGUAGAACAAAGUCAUAUUCAUAAUAUUGAAGAACAAAGAUGAUUAGAAGAACAAUUAGAAGCACAAUAAGAGAAUUACCAAGAAUCCUCUUGACAGAUCUGGAAACCAAUCGAAGAUUGACUCCUUCUAGUUCUAAUCCUAUGUAGCUAUGCUAAUCUAGAUAUCUAAUUGAUGUGGUGGCUCUAAUCUUGAUUAGGGGCUUCUUCUCCCUUGAGGAAUAAUGAAUUAGGGUUGAGAGGCUCUCUCCUCCAGGGGCCAGGGGGUCUAGUUUUAUAGUCCCUUCAAGUGAAUAUGGGCCGUUGGAUCCAACCGACUUAGAUUGGACCGUUAUCCUUGAUCCUUUAGGUCGGUGGGGAUCUCCCACGAAGCAGAGUCCUGAUUGGACUCUCAGAGGGGGCGGGCGCCCUGCCUUUGGCCCCGUUUCGCCUCCGCUUCGAUCUCGUGGCUUCUGGAGUAUUCUAGAUGUAAGAUAAUUGCGCGGCACGUUAAUAUCUCUAUGUAAUCCCGACGUGUGGGCCUUUCUUCCAUAUUUCUUGAUAACCCCCUGCAGAAAUAGACAAACACCAAAACUCGUGGAAUUCUGCCAGAUAAAACCCUAAGUCUAGAUGUUGAUUUCAUUUGGAUCCUUUUCUUUAUUUAUUUGAUAAUUAAAUUUGAUACUUAAGGACCGUCAACAAACUCCCCCAAGCUUACCUCUUGCUCGUCCCUGAGCAAGGAUAGACUCAGCUAUGGAUCAUAAGUUGUUGCAAUAUCUUUAAAAAUUGACGGUACAUAUGCUUUUUAAAUAAGAUCUCAUCUCUGAGUUAGAGUAAACUGUCAAGACUUAAAACUUACUUACUUUACCUUCACCAUGGGACUUGUAACCGUCACUUCCAUCUUGAGUAGUUAAAAGAUAGAACAGUCUAGUCAAGUGUCAUGUCUCUUAUUCUUGAUUAGCUAUAGCUCUGGAGUUUUUUGCAGAUUUUCAAAUAAAACUCAGAGAUUUCUUGUAUAAUUCUCUCAGAUCUCUCUUUUGUGGUAUUUCUGGAUCCUUACCAAGGCAGUGAUGGUAUAUGCCUUCUCUCAAAAUAUGUGGUAUUUGUGGUAUAAGGCAUAAUGAUAUUGCCUUCUCUCUCACCCUACUCUAAUAAGGCUUUAAUAUCUGGAGCUCAUAGGUGGGAGAUAAAGUAUACAUACUUACAAGACAUUUAUUGCAUAGUCAAACCAUAGAUCCAAAGAAACAAAUCAAUAAGUCAAAUCAAGAUGUGCAUGUGUGGCGAAUGAAUGGUGUAUAGUGAUGAUGGUGAUAACAAUGGUGGAAGUCUAAUUCUACUUUUGCUCUUUUGAGGGGAUACAUACCUUCCUUGCUUUUUUUGAAAUUUUAUGAGGAGAAUGAGAUGCUCUAUAUUUUUUCUUUUCUCUCAGGUGGGUAUCUUGUACCCCUAAUUCUACUGUCGGACACUUGUCCAUUUUUACCUCUCGUCUCACUUUUUCUUUUUUUCUUUCGAGGUUUCGGGCACUUGCCCCUUUUUAUUUCCUCGUAUUUAUUUAUAUUUUUUUAGCACUCAUCUCUUGAAAUAAUAUAGCAAGUGGUAGUAACAAGGUACCUUGAGCAUUUAUUUCACAAGGGAAAAACAGAAAUAUUUUUGGCUAUUCUGUCCCGGGUUAGGAGUACAAUAUUUUUGGGUGAUUCUGGAGAUGGAAAUGAGUGGAUAUAUGUGGAUGGUACUUCCGGAGUAGAAGUAGCAUGUAUGAGUGAACGUGCAAGUGAAUCUUGAUUUAACCACAUGACAAGCUCCUAGGGGUCUACACAGCUUGACCACACUCAAUGCUCAUAAGCAGUAAAUAGUAAAUGUGUGGCUCAAAGUCUAGCAAGCAUGUAUAUAUGGCCGUGGUAGGAAUUUAAACUCUCAUCAUACAAGAACUCAUCAUGCAAUGUUUUAAAGAUUAUUAAAGAUAAAAUUCUCCAGAAUUCCAGCAUCUCUAGGAACAGAUAAAUAGCAGCUCAACCUUCCCAAAUCGUGUCCGUUAACAACUUAGACUUUAGAUCAAGUCUUCAUCCCACAAGUUUAGGUUUAGAGCAAGAUUUAAAUUAUAACAGUUAUGUCUAAACUUGAGAGAGAACUUAAAAUGUGCAAAUUAGGCAGAGCAACUAUUCAUCAUAUCCAAGCUUGAGUUUUAUUUAGAUACAGAUUAGCAUAGCCACUUUAUUUAUUUAUUAAACACACUAAGCAAAAGAUAUAUAUAUAUAUAUAUUGUUGACACUAGCUAACACCACUUAGAUACUAGGUUGUCAUCCCUAGCAUGGCGCCAGAGUGUACAAAGGUAUUUAUAAAUGUAAAGGCUCUCUAGAAAAUAAUCUAUUCUAUCCGCAAGCGCACAGAUAAAACACCUCAUUGUAGCAUUUCACCAGGAUAAGUAUUCCAGGUAUCGUUAUUUAUAAUUUUACUUAGGGGAUCUCAAGAAGAUGGAAUUAAAUCAAAGGACAAAAUCUAUCAAGGCAUAGACUAGAGAUAAACUUGCAAGAACAUGAUUACUAAUGAAAAACUCGUCACACAGUCACAUACUUUAGCAGGGAGUAAACCAUAAAGAUAAUGAUAAUAAAGUAUAAGUUCAUGGG
rnacentral:lncRNA from 1 species